AAAAAAUUUUGCAGAUAAUAUAGUUCUUGUUGUUUUGAAUCGGUUUUUAAAAUUUUUUCGAUAUAAAUUUUCUACCUUUGACCAUUUGGACAAAGAUAUGCAAGUCGUACGUGUUAUUCUCGCCCAUGAAAGACGACAAGCAAAUUUUAAAACCUCAAGAAAUGUGGGAAAAAGACGAGACUUGAAUAUGGAUUUUAAUAUACAAAUAACAAAGGUAAGAG